UUCCCAUCCAGCUGGGGGCAAAUGGCCAGACCGGCCACUUCUCCAGCCCUGGCCGGAUUCUGACUGAGUCCCUGAUGGACAGGAAGAGCCCCUCAGAGAGAAACCCAUCCAAUGGCACAAAGUCCGAUCCAAAAGUUCUGAAUUCAGAGACCCGUCUGGCCCUAAGGAUUUCAGAGAAAGGACUAUGAAGCCAAAAUGGUGUUGAGUGUAAUGUGAAAGGCUGCCCACUCAGACCCAGGAAACGGCAGAAGAGAACGUGUGAAGACCCCGUGUCUGCCGCUGCCUGGCGUGGCCCUCGGGGCACCAGGCUUCUGAGCGGCUUGCCUGGGCUCACAGCUGCUGUGGGAUGCCCUGCUCCUUGUAGCCUGUGAAGAAGAAGCAGAGGAGAGCUGGUCAGACACCCAUUUCCCUCAGCAUUUCUCCAGGCGGUGCCCCCAGACUAGAAUAUGCUAGAACCUUAUUCACACAGAGGUGUAAAUGACAGUCAAGGGCUUGCUUUUCCCAAGGACAUUGGCUUUUUAAUAAGAAACCAGGGGAAUGAGUGGAGAACUGGGGAUCUUUGGGUUUAGAUGGGGAUAUAUGGGACGAGAGUUUCUGCUGCUGUAUCUGGUGGGGGUUGGAAGGUUAUCAACGUGCCCCUGAAUCCACACUGCACAAAAGUGGCCUCCGCAGAC